UACAGAGGUCUCAAGCGUUGUUCGGAUUCAUUGGGCGUAAAGGGUGCGUAGGUGGCGUGGUAAGUCGGAUGUGAAAGCCCCCGGCUCAACUGGGGAGGGUCAUUCGAUACUGUUCGACUCGAAGGCAGGAGAGGGAAGUGGAAUUCCCGGUGUAGUGGUGAAAUGCGUAGAUAUCGGGAGGAACACCAGUGGCGAAGGCGACUUCCUGGCCUGUUCUUGACGCUGAGGCGCGAAAGCUAGGGGAGCAAACGGG
rnacentral:rRNA from 1 species